GGAGUUGUGCCUGAAGUUGAAGGGUCACUUUGAUAGAGUGUAAAUACGGGGGUUAAAGUCCCCCCAACUCCC
rnacentral:tRNA from 1 species